GGCCAUAGAUCAGUAGUAGGACAUCUGCUUUGAAUGCAGAAGGUUGCAGGUUCAAUCUCUGACACCUCAAGGUGGGUCU